GCCCCAUCAACAGGUCGAUGAAAAUGAUACAAGAUGUUUCCAUACAUAGGAAUAAAUAUAUAGACGACAACAGAUCUUAUAAGAACAGGACAGCUUUUCUUUUAUCUAAUACCCCGAUAACUAUUUUGAAGCACUAGUGACAUAAUACACCCAGCCUAUGACACCUGCAUUCCUGUCCAUCUAGUAUCCUUAGCAUUGUAUUGUUAAAAAGGUUUUCAAAUUUCUUAAUAAAUAUGCUGUCACAAAAUAGAAUACAUGAUUCAUUACAGAAGGGACGUAAAAUUACGUGUAUGAGGUGAAGGACUAUGUAGAUUUUUACUCAGGAGAAUCGUAACAAGAUAUUGAAAGACCUGCCAACAAGCAGCGAACAAUCAAUUUGCUGUUGUUUUAGACAUGGCCUGCUUGACAGCCUCAGCGUAUGUCCUGUGUUGGUAUGUGAGUGUGGAUUCUAGCAAGUCCCAUAAGGAAGUCUUUGGGUUCCAACCAAGCUGCCUGUUGAUUAUGGUCAUGUCCGGAAUCCUCUUGUCACUGUCAUCAUACCCCUCACCAUAAAAU
rnacentral:misc_RNA from 1 species